AACGCNGGCGGCAGGCUUAACACAUGCAAGUCGAGCGCCUCGCAAGAGGAGCGGCAGACGGGUGAGUAACGCGUGGGAAUCUACCCAUCUCUACGGAACAACUCCGGGAAACUGGAGCUAAUACCGUAUACGUCCUUCGGGAGAAAGAUUUAUCGGAGAUGGAUGAGCCCGCGUUGGAUUAGCUAGUUGGUGGGGUAAUGGCCUACCAAGGCGACGAUCCAUAGCUGGUCUGAGAGGAUGAUCAGCCACACUGGGACUGAGACACGGCCCAGACUCCUACGGGAGGCAGCAGUGGGGAAUAUUGGACAAUGGGCGAAAGCCUGAUCCAGCCAUGCCGCGUGAGUGAUGAAGGCCCUAGGGUUGUAAAGCUCUUUCAACGGUGAAGAUAAUGACGGUAACCGUAGAANAAGCCCCGGCUAACUUCNUGCCAGCAGCCGCGGUAAUACNAANGGGGCUAGC
rnacentral:rRNA from 1 species